rnacentral:rRNA from 1 species
CUAAUACAUGCAAGUCGAGCGCGGGAAGUCGGACAGAUCCCUUCGGGGUGACGACCGGUGGAACGAGCGGCGGAUGGGUGAGUAACACGUGGGCAACCUGCCUGUAAGCCUGGGAUAACUCGCGGAAACGCGAGCUAAUACCGGAUGCGUCUUUUGUUCGCAUGAACGAAAGGUAAAAGGCGGCUUUUGCUGUCACUUACAGAUGGGCCCGCGGCGCAUUAGCUAGUUGGUGAGGUAACGGCUCACCAAAGCGACGAUGCGUAGCCGACCUGAGAGGGUGAUCGGCCACACUGGGACUGAGACACGGCCCAGACUCCUACGGGAGGCAGCAGUAGGGAAUCUUCCGCAAUGGACGAAAGUCUGACGGAGCGACGCCGCGUGAGUGAUGAAGGUCUUCGGAUCGUAAAACUCUGUUGUUAGGGAAGAAUAAGUAUAAGGCGAAUAACCUUAUACCUUGACGGUACCUAACCAGAAAGCCCCGGCUAACUACGUGCCAGCAGCCGCGGUAAUACGUAGGGGGCGAGCGUUGUCCGGAAUUAUUGGGCGUAAAGGGUGCGUAGGCGGUCUCUUAAGUCUGAUGUGAAAGCCCACGGCUUAACUGUGGAGGGUCAUUGGAAACUGGGAGACUUGAGUGCAGAAGAGGAGAGUGGAAUUCCACGUGUAGCGGUGAAAUGCGUAGAGAUGUGGAGGAACACCAGUGGCGAAGGCGG